CGAGGAUUCCCCUAGUAACGGCGAGUGAACGGGGAAAAGCCCAGCGCUGAAUCCUUCGGCCACAGGUCGCUUGGAAUUGUAGCGUAUAGGUGCGGCUGUCCGUCUGUUUCGCUUACCCAAAGUCCCCUUGAGCGGGGCUAUUGUCCAAAGAAGGUGCUAGACCUGUACGGGUGGCGAGACGGUCGGUUGGUUGCUCCUUGGAGUCGGGUUGCCUGGGAUCGCAGCCCAAAGUUGGUGGUAGACCUCAUCUAAGGCUAAAUAUGGCCACGAAACCGAUAGCAAACAAGUACCGUGAGGGAAAGUUGCAAAGAACUUUGAAGAGAGAGUUCAAGAGGGCGUGAAACCGCUGAGAUUGAAACGGAUAGAGUUGACGGAACUCGGCUGCAUUCAUUCGGUCGGCCUAGCGGCCCGAUGGGAUUGACUUCCUCGAUGAGGGCAAUACUGUCGGCAGCUGUUGGGUGCUUGAUCGGUGUAUUUGCGGCCGGUAUGCGCUGAGAGCCUUGUGGUCGCAUGUUGACGGGCACGUAGUGGACCAUUCCUUCCGGGCGUGGAACCCUCCGUGCUUUGAGGCAAGUUGGCCGUGAGGUUUUGAACGUGAGCGUCUCCGCUAUGGUGCAUCGGCUUCGUCAGGCUAUAGCGACUAUGGGAUGUCGCGUGCGACCUUCUGUAGUUGGCGAUGGCGUGGUGGAGAGCGGAUGCGUCGAGACGUAUAUCUCGGUGUGAACGUCGACCACCUAUCCGA
rnacentral:rRNA from 1 species